UACGUAGGGGGCAAGCGUUGUCCGGAUUUAUUGGGCGUAAAGAGCGUGUAGGCGGCCGUACAGGUCAGCUGUGAAAACUCGAGGCUCAACCUCGAGACGUCGGUUGAAACCGUACGGCUAGAGUCCGGAAGAGGAGAGUGGAAUUCCCGGUGUAGCGGUGAAAUGCGCAGAUAUCGGGAAGAACACCCGUGGCGAAGGCGGCUCUCUGGGACGGUACUGACGCUGAGACGCGAAAGCGUGGGGAGCGAACAGG
rnacentral:rRNA from 1 species